AGCGAACGCUGGCGGCAUGCCUAACACAUGCAAGUCGAACGUGAUCCAGGCUUCGGUCUGGUGAAAGUGGCAGACGGGUGAGUAACGCGUGGGAACCUGCCCUGUGGUAGGGAAUAACUGCGGGAAACUGCGGCUAAUACCCUAUGUGUCCUGAGGGACAAAGAUUUAUCGCCAUAGGAGGGGCCCGCGUCGGAUUAGGUAGUUGGUGGGGUAACGGCCUACCAAGCCAUCGAUCCGUAGCUGGUCUGAGAGGAUGAUCAGCCACACUGGGACUGAGAUACGGCCCAGACUCCUACGGGAGGCAGCAGUGGGGAAUAUUGGACAAUGGGGGCAACCCUGAUCCAGCAAUGCCGCGUGGGUGAUGAAGGCCUUCGGGUUGUAAAGCCCUUUCGGCGGGGAAGAUGAUGACGGUACCCGCAGAAGAAGCCCCGGCUAACUUCGUGCCAGCCGCCGCCGUAAAAC
rnacentral:rRNA from 1 species